ACAACUGUUCGGCCUGUGUCUGCAACGUUCUUCACUGCACGCAUGACGAUGGCAGCUGCCCUUGCAUCCAAACCUGAUGUUGGCUCAUCCAUGAAUAUGAUUGAAGGAUUAGAUACAAGCUCGACUGCAAUGGACUUCAUUGACAAAUUCCUGCGAGGGAAAGACAUGCAGUGAGCUCACAAUUUCAUGACAGCUGUCCCCAGAACCUAGGAUACAAGCAUACAAACCAUGGGAAGGCAUUCCUUUUCAUAAGGAGGAGCUCCCGCGCAAAACAUGCCUUGAGGAGAUCCAACUUGGAUAAUGAGUAGAUGCUGAAGGACAGGGCAUCCUUAUGUCCUUUUGAUUUGUCAUACGGCUUCAAAAGCUCCUCCGCAAGAUUCUGACCACUUGGAGAUGCUUUGAACUUGUCACAGAAUUGGUCAACUGUAACAAAAUUAUAUCUUUCUUUGGUACGGCUCCAGUAUUGCUGUUGAUCCUUUUUUGACAAGACCUAUAUACACACAAGUUUUGAAGAGUGAACUACCUUAUGAUGGUAAGCAAGUGUACUAAUAAGCAAGACAAAAUCAGUUACCUGCUCCAGGAAAAGAAGUAAACUUAGUUACCUGCUCUGCUGCCGACGCCCUGGAAUCUUGCAGAGAAGUCGAGCGUCUCCCUGACAGUCAUCUCAGGGACAUGAAGAUCAUACUGACCAAU